UAGUUUUGGUAAUUAUAACUCGUAAAGCAGUAGUAUACGUAAAUACUAGUCCUAUGAUGUUAUUCUUAUUGAAAAUAUAUCAAAUUAAGGUUGGUGAUUGGGGUG
rnacentral:rRNA from 1 species